rnacentral:rRNA from 1 species
UGCUUAAUACAUGCAAGUCGAGCGAGAACGUACCCUUCGGGGUGCUAGUAGAGCGGCGAACGGGUGAGUAACACGUAAGCAACCUGCCUCUAAAUUCGGAAUAACCUUGCUAACGCGGGGCUAAUACCGGAUGUGAUCCAUUUUCCGCAUGGUUUUUGGAUUAAAGAUGACCUCUCCUUGGAAGUUAUUGUUUAGAGAUGGAUUUGCGCACCAUUAGCUAGUUGGUGGGGUAAUGGCCCACCAAGGCAACGAUGGUUAGCCGGCCUGAGAGGGUGAUCGGCCACAUUGGGACUGAGAUACGGCCCAGACUCCUACGGGAGGCAGCAGUAGGGAAUUUUGCGCAAUGGACGAAAGUCUGACGCAGCAACUCCGCGUGAGGGAUGAAUGCCUUCGGGUUGUAAACCUCUGUUGAGUGGGAAGAAAAAUUUUAUUGCUAAUAUCAAUAAAACUUGACGGUACCAUUCGAGGAAGCCCCGGCUAACUACGUGCCAGCAGCCGCGGUAAUACGUAGGGGGCAAGCGUUGUUCGGAAUUACUGGGCGUAAAGAGAACGUAGGCGGAAAAGUAAGUUAGAAGUGAAAAUUAUAGGCUCAACCUGUAACCUGCUUUUAAUACUGCUUUUCUUGAGUAUGGGAGAGGUAGAUGGAAUUCCAGGUGUAGCGGUGGAAUGCGUAGAUAUCUGGAAGAACACCAGUUGCGAAGGCGGUCUACUGGCCCAAUACUGACGCUGAGGUUCGAAAGCUAAGGGAGCGAACAGGAUUAGAUACCCUGGUAGUCUUAGCCGUAAACGAUGGACACUAGAUGCCGGGAGCAAAUUAUUGUUUUCAGUGUCGGAGCUAACGCGUUAAGUGUCCCGCCUGGGGAGUACGACCGCAAGGUUGAAACUCAAAGGAAUUGACGGGGGCCCGCACAAGCGGUGGAGGAUGUGGUUUAAUUCGACGCAACGCGCAGAACCUUACCUGGUCUUGACAUGGGAGUGAAAGUUUUUAGAGAUAGAAACCUUUCCUUCGGGAACACUCUACACAGGUGCUGCAUGGUUGUCGUCAGCUCGUGUCGUGAGAUGUUGGGUUAAGUCCCGCAACGAGCGCAACCCCUAUCCUUAGUUGCCAGCGAGUAAUGUCGGGAACUCUAGGGAGACUGCCUGGAAUAACCAGGAGGAAGGUGGGGAUGACGUCAAAUCAUCAUGGCCCUUACGACCAGGGCUA